UUUACCCAACAGAAAUAGCAUCCAGGUUUUACACAGGCAGGGGAAAUAUUCCAUAAAAACAUUUAAUUAAGUUGCAAAUAGUUCAAGGGUUGUUAAUAUUUACCCUGUAGAAGACGGGCUUCCUUUGUUUGCAGACCUUGAUGUGAAAAUGAUUUUGACCUCACAGGGAAUAGUGGGGGUGAUAUUUGGUUAGUGGUGUUGGCACAGGGACAUAACACAGGUGCCCUUUUGCUGAGCUGGGUCCUGGCAGGGUGACGUGCUGGGGCUGACAGGGUCUGACCUGUCCUGGAGAGCACCAGGCUCUGUGUGAGGGAUGAGGAACCCAGGGACAGCCACAGGCAGAUGCUUUGCAGCUGCAAACCUGCUUGGAUCACAGUAGCAGGCUUUAAUUUAAUGGACUCUUUGGAGGAAUGUUAUUUGUCUGUUAGCAAGAACAUUCUCAGCUGGCCUCCAGGUGAGACUAUGUGCCACAGCAGAGAAAACCCCAGAAAAUUGUCGCUCAGGACCAAAGGAAAGCUGUAACAUCAGGAAGGUGAAUGUAGCUGAAUUCCAGUGCUCAGCCUGGUCCUCCUGUGAGGCUGAACUCUGAUCUAAGACAACUCAGAUCAUUGCAGCACCGUGUGCAGCAGUAUCCUUCACUGAGGGAGAGACCAGGAACUCCUUGAAGCUAAAAUGGAUGUUUGAUGCAACAUGUCGAAACCCAUCCUGAACAAAACUCCACAAAAAAAGGGGGUUCAACACUUGCUGAACUGCAAAACGUUUGCCAGCUGGAUUUAGCUCACUUGGGGCUGGCUGCUUUGAAAACCACGGCUGCUUUGAUCCCAGUCCGAGCAAUGCUGUUGGACCUCUGCUGUACAACGAGCUCGAGGUUGUUUUCUGUGGCAUUUUUAGAAGAGGAGCGGCAAUGGAAAAACCAGGACCUUUCUCUUCUGCAGCCAUGCUGUGAAAGAAGACUUUUCUGGGCACUAUUGCAAAGAUGGUCCCAAUGGAGCAGGGAAGUGUGGAAACUAAAAGGAGGUCAGGAACAGAAAGAGAUGGCAAUUUGGGACUGGUUUGGACCAGAAAUACACAACAACUUGGAAUGGCAAUCCUACCCUAAUCUCUCAGAUUUUGCAGACACUGCAAGGGCAAGGGCAGUGUUGUCCUGACCACGCUCUGGGACUUUCUCUGGAAGCUUUGGGUUGGAGUGGCUGAUGGGAGGCUGCACUGGAGCUCCAGCUGGGACAACACCACCUGGUUUCACCACAACAGGUCCUGCUGAUCCUGUCUGAGGACUACAGAGAAUCAUCUCCAGAAAUUCCAGGAGAAUUUCCUGCAGCCAUUCUCAUUUCUAGGUCUGUAUAAAGGAAAACCUACACUCCGUGACCUGCAGGAAGAGAGGCAGAGGAAGAGGCUAAAAGCUAUGAAGCAGAGACACCAAGAAAUUGAGAGUCCACCCUUAAAUUGCAGAAAUGGCGAGGGGAUUUUGCGCUCACCCCUCCUGUGUUUCUGUGCUGGGAGCCUGGUUGUUUCUGCUGGAGGUGUCUGUGUGUUGGGAAAACAGGCAGUGAUGGCAAGGGACACAAUGAUCUCUUCAGAGGGUCCCAGCUGCCUUCCCUGCUCAGUGUCACUCAUACUGCUGGGCCUGGGGAGCCAGUGCUCAUGCAUGCAAAAUCACUCUUUUUAAUUUUCUGUUUCUGUAACACGACCUGUUGCUGUACUACAUCUUCAUGAGGCAGAGCUGUCUGGAGAACAUCUGUUGCAGUCCCAGCUGUUCGGGCCUUCUUCCUCUGUUUCAGCCCUGUUUUCAGAUAUGUGCAAACCACUGACAGUAACACAUCCCCCAGUUCCUCCUACAAAUCCUGUUUUCUCUGUUCUCACAGGGAGAGGGGGGAAAAAAGAAAAAGAAUUUUUGCAUGGUUAAAUAUGGGCUGGAUGCUUUAUUCUCACCAAAUCCCACCAGUAGGGUCAUUGUGGACUGACUCAUACCAGACAGACAGUAAAAACCAUCCCAGUGUUUAUUCCCUUUGGAGCCUAUAUAAUUAAAGCUGCCCACCUGCUGCUGAGUUUUGCUGUCAUUUUUUGAUGCUAUGGGCUAUGUGAUACUCAGUUAUUAUCAUAAACUAUGUUAAGCUCUACCCACUAUGGGGUUUAUGACAACAAUCCUUGAGAAAACUGUAAUCCUCUGUGCUCAAGUAUAUCUCCUUGUUAUAAUGCUUAUGAUUCUUGGCUUGAGAUGAUGGCAGAUGAUGGCCAUGAAAGACUUCCAAAUAUGGGUCCUGGCAACUUGCUCUGUGCCCAGCAUGCCUGCCUUAGAUAUGUUAGAUGAAGCCGUUCCCAGCCCAUCUCCUCCAGCCCUGCAGCACAGCCACCAUUCCUGCUCCAGGACGCAUGACAGAGAUUUGACAGCCUGCCCCAGGGGAACAGGGCCCCUCUCAUCUCCAAACCCAUCCCACAGAAUCCUGCUGUGGGUCCAGGGGGAACCACAGGGGCUGCAGGCAGGUGGAGGGGCUGGGGUGUCACCUGCGCAGCUCUCUGCGGCUGUGACAGUCCCCUGCCUCCUUUCCCUGCCUGUCACAGCGUUUGUUCUCAUCCCCACACAAGGGAAAAACCUCAGGAUGCCUGGCUGAGGGUGCUCAGAAAGUCAAGGUUUGGAGCAAUUUGCAGGACUUUGGGUGGAAAAUUUUCCAGGGCUGCAAUGGACACAGCCCUUCUCUCACACCUUGAGAGAGAGUUACAGGCACCUGAUUGUCACAUAAAAAGGUGUCAAACCCUCUGGGUGUGUUUUGAAAGGAAACUCUGAUUGGAUUUUCAAAGAAAGGUUGGACAGAAGAGCACCUCAGGCAGACUCAUGCAAUUCGGGUGCUUCCAGUUUCGGUAUUUUGCCUUGGAAAAAUGGGAAUUAUUGACUUGUCUUCCUUACAUACUGCACAGGCAUUGCCAGAGGCAAAGACCAAAACACAGCUCCAAUGCUAAACAUUUAAUCUGCUAAAUUUGAAAAAAAAUCUGUCUUCUGAGUUCCAAAUAUUGUGAAAUAUCCUAGGGACAUUGACUGAUAGUAUUAAAAAUACUAUCAGGGGACAGCUCAAAUAUUUGACAGUCUUGGAAACAACAAAAUGGCUUUCCUUAUUGACUAACACUUGUGACACAUAUAUUAAUCAUAAUAAAAUAACUGUAACUUCAUCAAUAAAUACAGCAGUAAUAGGUUUUGUCUCUACAAACUUUCUUCAAUGGUUUCUGUAAAAUUAAAAAAGCAUCAGGAACAUAUCUUUAUAUUAAAUUAUUUUUAAUGUCACACACACUGAAGAUUUGGGAAAUUCAUAUUUUUCAUGACCAUUUUUUUAGAAUUCUGAAUAGCCAAACAUUCAAAAUUUAACAUAUAGUUAGAAAAAAGUCCACACCUGGUAUACUUGUCCCUGUACUGCUAUCUUCAACCACAAUCUCAACAAUGAAAACUAUCAAGAUUAACAAUCCAAACAUGUUUCCUGGACAGCCUGGUCAUCCAUAAUUGUUGGAAGGAACCACUUCUCUUUACUGCCAAAAUACUGCCUAUCAUUUGUUGCCUGAUACUCCUGGGAGGACUUAACAGUGUUUAAUAAAUAAUUUGAACCUGCUUGGUAAAAUUUUCAUUCAAUGCUAGUUGAAAUCUGAAUUAUUUAUGAUUAUUUUCCCCCCAGCUUUCUUAAGGACAACACAUGGUCUUGGAUAGAAGCUUCUGAAUGCUCAACAUGCGUGAGCUGGAACCACACACAACUGAAUUUCUCUGGUAGCUAUAGGACAAAGGUUUGCCUGGGGGGGGG
rnacentral:lncRNA from 1 species